CCCUUGGCUGCCCGAGACAGAAUCGUAGUCGGUACUUCCAAGAAUCCGGACUCGGGCGCGUUUCAGGAGUAAUUCUGAUGCGAACAAACGGGCUUUCCCCCUCUCCGAUGUCGGGGCAGGACUGGAGAUCUGUCCAACGACAGUGUUGCCAACCCUCCUUAACUUUUGUGCCUUUCCGCCACAGAGUAAUGGCGGAUUCCGCCUUCCUGCCGCUUCUCGGAAAAUUUCUGAUCAUACAACUACAGAUUCCCGAUGCAAUCGAACGACCCAUAACGAGAGCACUUUCAGAAACAAAUUCUGCACAAAAUGGUGGAGGGGAUGUUGCACGAAAUCGUCUAGACCUCUGCCUGUUCAUUUCGGAAUAAUAAAAACGAUGGACCUAUGAUGCAUUAACGUAG
rnacentral:misc_RNA from 1 species